CUUUCGCUGGGUCGUAUCAAGUAGCUAAGAUCUCAGCGCAACUCAGCUUGGAUCACAACUUGAUACAUUUUCUCUCGUCUGCUCAGUGAUUUAAAUCGAUACAUAUAUCGUCUUGCAGCCAGCUUUUAUAGUGACGCUCUUUUUGUUUUUGAAACAUGGCGAUUUCUCAACAGCCACGCAUAUUGACAAUUGCUACGGUCAUAAGUGAAGUGAUACAACAGAAUACUGAUGAAUGUGAUGUUAUUUGUCACGAGUUCAGCCAACCUCUUAUUGCUUAACAAGACAUUUUAAAUUCAGGGCGAGAUGGUACAAGUCAAUUCACUGGGAUUGAAGACUAUAUCGAUAGCUAAGCAAAUUCUUACAAUGUAUAUAUUAUUUUUUCCAUUCUCCGUAAUGAAAUGCUUCUAAAAAAAUGUAACUUCUUCUUUAUUUAUACUUUUAUAUUUAUAGUUGCAUUUGCAUUUCAUGUAUUUAUUUGAAAACAAUUUAAAUUUUGCAGCAUUUCAUAUUUCCGCUUUUAUAUUGACUUCGUCUGCUUGGCAGUAAAAACUCCCUGUAUAUCAGUGAUCCAAGCUGAGAUCUUAGUUACUUGAUACGACCCUGGUUGCUAUCGUUAGUCGUUACGCAGCAGAUAAAAAGUCCGUAACGGUGGCAACUGGCAACCAAAAUAAAGCCUAGGGGUUACUAAGUAGGAGGGGGGAAAUUUCCUCAGACUGUGUGUUCUCAGAGUCUGCCAGCAAAGUGAAAAGCAUAUAGACAAGAUCCUCAAUGUGAGUGAAUUUUUCAAAAGAAUAUUCACAGUUAUUCAUUCCAAUGAUCCAAUUGCAAGAUCUCUGGCAUUGAGAACUUUGGGGAGUAGCCUAUGGCAAUUCUGAUCAGAAAUCAGUGCAUUACAGCAUUCACAACAGUUUGGACAACACACAAUGCUCCCCUGUCGAGUUAGAGGCAGCCAUCUACGCCGCAUCCAAGUUUGCCACACAGUCUCGAACCUUUUCCGUCCACAUGCGCAGUAAAAUUGCCGAAAUGAUUUAGGAUCUGGCCACACCUGUAAAUACCAAGCUCAAGCUCAAGCUCAUCCCCAUCUUGCAGUACAUGCACCAUGAUGCUUACACGGCCGCCAUAGUUCGACGUUUGUGCACCCAGCUACCCAGCCCCAAAAUUUCGUCUGUGUAACACUUCACACACUAACUCUGAUGACUAGUGAAACUCUAGUCGAAUUCCCGCAAUAGCUACUCCUGCUUCUUGAAUAUCUUGUUCGAUUCAAGUUUUGUCCAACUUAAAUUUUGUCUGUCAAAGUUGCCCAUCUGUGGACUACUUCUAACGUGGAUGGACUCUUUGGCCUACUGCUUGAUCAACCUAAUCUCGAAUUGCAUAGAUUAGAAGGACACUGGACGUUCUAGUUACCCUAGCCAUGGCUGAAGCCUCGAACUGUUUUUUCCUCAAGGCCGAUACAAAGUUACACUUGAUUUGGAAUCAGUGUUGCUACACUUGUGACCAAUCUGAUGCAGCAAAAGCAGUUCAGCUACUUGUUCAACUUGUAGUUAUAUCUAGCAAACAAUAUUCUUUUUCGUCCUCAGCGCCCGAUUAAAGCCAAGACGCUGCCCAUGCUGUUGAAUCGCUCAUAUUUGGCCUCUGCUUAUUGGGAAAGACCGAAGAGAGGAAACUCAAGAAUGCGUUGAAAUCAGCCGCCCAGCUGAGUCGUGUCGCCAGAAAUCAGCGCCACCAUCAUUGAUUGCCUCAUUCGCUUGUUGCCUCAAUCUUCCGGUUCCAUGUUAGUCCUGCUGUGACAGGCUCUGGCUACCAUCGGAAAUACUCAACCGGCCGCCAUUGUCCGCAUCUGCAGCAUUGGUCGCUAUUCAUAGCAACCGGCCGCCAUUGUGGUUUUCUUCCGUUCGACGAAAACUUGUUCAGCUGUUGUCACUUCUGGCCGCCGUCGCGGUCCGCCGUCCUAACAUUCGUUCUCGUCGCGGUGGAUCUCGGGCAGGACCUCUGGUUCGCCUAUCACAACUCCAGACGAAGUCUUCAUUUUUCAGGUUCCUGCUUCUCUCUACAUGAUCCUGGCCGCCUACAAUUUGCUACCGACAAUGUUAAUCGGCUUUUUCGUCGCUAUCGUUCACUUGACAGCGAACGCGUUACUCUUUCAGACGAGAAAAUCGGUCAACAACGAAGUUGACAUUUCUCUGAUCAUGGCUGAUGUCGGAUUUUAUCUGACAGCCAACGUUGUCGGCAUUUUCACCAAUUGCCUGAACGAGACUACGCUGAGAUGGGCCUUUCUCGACCGUCGCUGGUGCAUCGAGUCCACCAUCAAAUUGGACUACGAGAAGAGUCAAGAAGAACAGCUGAUGCUGUCCAUCUUGCCCAAACACAUCGCCCACGACGUGGGCACCGACAUCAGGGAGGAAGUCUAGUUGAUGACGAGAUCCAAAAUGUCGCCGUCGUCCAGGAAACCGUUCGAACAGUUACACGUCGAGAUGAUCCGGAAGUCAGUGUUCUUUACGCCGAUAUCGUCAACUUUACUCUGUUGACUGCAGCCCUCUCGGCGUCCAGCCUCAUCUCCAUGCUCAACGAAUUUUUUGGCAAAUUCAACGAGGCUGCCAAAGAAAUCGAUUGUUUAAGAAUUAAAAUCCUCGGUGACUGUUAUUGCUGCGUGUCUAGAAUACCGGACUCGACCACCACCCAUGCUAAGAAUUUUGUCGGAAUGGGAUUCAAGAUGAUUGAAAUCUAUCGCCAAAUUAGAGAGGAUCGCCAAGUGGAUGUGGACAUACGGAUCGGCAUUCAUAGUAGCAGCGAGCAGCGUUAUCAGUGGUCUGCCUUCGCAAGUGGCAGUUUGAUAUCUGGACCCGUGACGUGAUCAUCGCCAAUCACAUCAAACAAUCGAUGUGUGCAACCAAGAAUCUGCUGGGGGAUUCUAAUCAAUUUAAUCCCGGGAACGGAAUGAAACGUGAUACUUACCUGGCAAAACUGGGAAUUGAGACCUUUCUAGUCGUUUCAACCAACGCCAAUCAAUCGAAGGAAUCUGGAGUCUAAAGGAUCAAAGUUAAAGCCGAUCCUUUCGCAUCGCUUCCCCGUAUGAACGCUGUUGUUGCUAUGACUUAUGAGUUAUGAAGUAGCUUCCACAAAAAAUCAUUGGGUUGACUGUGAAACAAACAAUUAACUCAAUAACGAUGCUGAAAAUUGAAAACUCAUCGCUUGACAGUCUCUACGAUUGACUCCCGCCAAGCCUUCCAGUAGCGGUUGCUUACCGUAUUCCGCCAUCGUCAUCAUUACGUCACAUCUAUGCGAAAAUGCGACAGUCAUCACUAGCGACAGGUGACGAACAUUCUGAGGAAAUUUACAUCCGGCUAGUGAAAAAUCCCAGGAAAUCUAGUGUGGCUAGCGGAACUGGAAGACGACUCUUUGCCAGGAGGCGAUCGACGACUGGUGAAAACACCUCACGACGGGGUGCAGUUUUGAUGGACAACACUUUAGUCAGUUUCCGGCGGAUGAUGGACCAAGCCGAUUCUAAGAUGGAAAAAUCCAUCGAAUCCAUGUUAUUAUCAAAAGUCAGACGAUCCAGGGCGACUCCGGACCAGGAAUCGCACGUCAACCUUUUUCUUUUCUUCUCCAACCGAUCCUGGGAACUUCCUUUUUUGCAGCGUCCGGAUCCUUUGUUCAACCUUUACGUCUUGGGUGCCAUUCCAGUUCUGAUUGGGAUCAUGACCAUUCAGCUCACUCUCUAUAGUAGUGGCCCCCGGACAUUCUGGUUGGCCUUUGGGAUAGCCUUGAUUAUUGUGGUGUUAGUUGGCAUGUGCUUGUGGGUGCCCCAGAUUUGGUACUACAGUAGGAACUCUAUUAACGACGACCCGGAAAAUGUAUUUGAAAGCCUCUCUGUUUCUCCCGAGCCGAUCCAGCUCGACCGUCUCAGCAGCGUUUUUCAAGCUGGAUUCUUUUUGUUCAUCCCUAACGACCCGGACCCUUAUCUUUCUCGUGGUUACGGUGGCCGUUGGUGCUUGUGGUCUAGUUGAUCUGGACCAUGUCAAAGAAUCAAAUAAUACAUCAAAAGCAAUGACAGAGAAUGCGACCGGCCAGUGCAACUUCCAAGAUUCUCGCAUUUACCUCUGGCUAUAUGAUGGUCGAGAAGAAUGCCUCUUAUGCCAAGCUAGUCCAUCUGUUCAGCCGGAACUCAGUCAUGCUUUAUGUCUGUUGACUAUCCUCAUGAUUUUGCACGUGGCCGACCGUCAGAUUGAAUUCAUCAACCGGCUAGAUUACGUGUGGCAGCGUCAGCUGGCCAAUGAACAGGAGGAAGAUAAAACCACCAGAAUCGUCAACAAGAUGUUGCUUCUAAACAUCUUGCCCCAUCACGUUGCUGAUGUUUAUCUAGAUACAUCCCGCUGCAGUGAACAACUGUAUCACGAAGAACACAAACGAGUGGCCGUCAUGUUUGCCUCUAUUCCAAAUUUUAUGGACUAUUUCGCAGAAAAUGACAUCGACGAUCGUUGCUUAGGAGUCCUUAACUCGAUCAUCAGCGCGUUUGAUGCGUUGUCAUUCGAGGAAUCGUUCUGCCGCAUUGAGAAAAUCAAAAUUGUGGGCAGCACCUACAUGGCAGCAUCAGGUCUCACGGCUGUCCUCAAUGGAUCGACUGCUGAGACGGUUGCGGAAAGCGAAUCGCGCGUUAUCGCACUGAUCACCAUGAUUAGGUUUGCUUUGGCAAUGUGCACGGUACUCGACCAGCUGAAUCGAAAGCAAGCGCACAACUUCCAACAAGCGCCCAACUUCCAACUGCGGAUCGGAAUUGAAUACGGACCGGUUAUUGCAGGAGUUGUCGGAGCGCAAAAGCCGCUUUACGACAUUUGGGGCGAUACGGUCAACAUGGCAUCCCGGUUGGAGUACACUAGUCAAUUGGGUGAAAUUCAAGUUACAGAAAAGACGGCCAAAUUACUGGAAGCUGUUGGCAUCCACUGUGAGAAGCGAGGCGAAACGUUCUUGAAAGGCAAAGGCCUCGUUAUGACGUACUGGGUGCGUCCGGAGGAGUUAGAUUCCUACGAUUCUCUUCAAAAUUCCUCGGCGCGAUUAAGAGCUUCCUCAUCGGUUUGAGCGACAUGUUAUUGACAUCAACUUCGGCUCGCAGUUCACUAAGCCGCAAACCAAUCGGCUGUCCGUUCUGAUUGAAGAAGACAAAGGAGAACGUUCCAGUCAAAAAGCUUUUGUCGUCUUGUUCUAGAGUGGGAGCUAAUCUAAUCCAGCUCUUACAUCACCUCUUCUCAUGAAAUUCGAGUUGUAAGAAGAUGUCGAUAUUGUGUCACUGUCGAAUGAAGACGUUAAUUUAGAUAUUUAUGAUGAAGAUUAAAUGACGCACCUCUAAAAAAAAUUCCCCUUUUUUAAUUCUUUUUUUUAACUCAACUGCCUCACCGGUAAAGUUCUAAGGCACUCAA